ACAUCCAAAUUUGAACUAAAACAAUAGAUUUAGACACGAUCAUUAGGAAUCAGCAAAAUAGGUAACGAAAAAAUUCCAAAUAGUGUCAAAAAUUGGCUGUUCAAUUCGCCUCAUAGCAUGUUGCACUGAAAAAAUCAUCAUUUUGGAUAGUGAAACAUUCAUCGCUUUAUCGAACCAUGAAUGAAGUGCAAGUGGUUUCUUUUGCAUGACUAUGUUAGGGCACUACUAUAUAAGGCUAGAGACGUGGACAAACCGAACUUUGAUAAAUGGGUGUUUGUAUGGUACGAUGUUCUUCGGAAGGUGUUUUAGAGCCAUUAUUCGAGAAUUUGGUGCUGAAACGUAAGUUAUAGGCGAAGGUCCAAAAUACUUGAAACAAGCAACAAUUAGCGGGAAGGUUCGAGAGAAAGUUGAAAGAAAUCGACAAAUCGCCAAAGCAUGAUUUUGAAGAUGCGACAAACAUUCUAACGUACAAGAAUAACCAAGAGGGAUAAAGUUAAUGCAUUCCAAAUAAUGAUAUACAUUCAUCAUUCAUCAUAAUUCCCAUAUUAAAUAUUAAAUUCUAUCUGCUUUGCGCAGUAAAUUGCAAAAUUAGGGAUAUAUUAAAUUAUUAAAGGUUACAUAUAGUUUUUGAAAAAGUAAAGCAAUAGAAUCUUAAAUUACUGUUUAUAGCAUUUCGACAAAACACUUUUCAUUAAGAUUACUCGAUUCUGGAGAACAUUGAUGACCAUAAUAAAAAAUAUAAGAAAUUGUAACGUUUUUUAUCCAUUUUAACGUUGAAAAAUGUAACACGACCCAUUUUGGUGGUCAUUUUCGUGUAGACUAUACAUGUAGUCAAACGCAAAGUUAAGUUUUUAUUUCUUUUUUACUUAACAUUUAAUGGUUCAUUUGUCGCAGAAAAAAUAACACACAAUUUGUCGCAAUGAUUUUUGUUUCGGUAAACUUUUUUGAAACGUGAAUAUGCAUGACUGCUGCAGAUGCCAAAACCAUAACGUUUGACAUCCAUUUUAAACAUAACUGUGCUUGUAUUCCAAUUUUGUAUUUUUUUUCUACAUUUGUGUUCAAUUGCAUCGUGUGUUGGUAGGUAGAAUUUUUGAUGAUUUUUCUUUAAUUAAUCAAUGGCCGUGAAUUAUAUCAUCGGAUGAAAAUCAUUUUAACCCUAAAACCGUACAUCGGGCACUCGAGUGCCUGAUCAGUGCCCGAGAAAAAUUUCAAACUAAAACUAAACUCUGAUUUGUUUCGUGUUGUCGCUUUUCGGCCUCUGUUCUUUCUCAAAAAUAUAAAAUAUGUAUCUAUUCACGCCAUGGUUUUCGAAAAAUAUCGGGCUCAGUGCCCGACGUAUAUUCAUAACAGUGCUUUUUUAUAUCGAUAGAUUUCCAUUGAAAGUGAACGGAACACAUAACUUCUAUGAAUCGAGAUACUUUCUUUUCAACGAAAGGAUGUGACAACAAGUUUCGUAAAAAGAUAAACUGGAUCUGCUAUUUAUGCAUAUUUAUGAUGAUACGAUCACUUUUUUGCUGUAAUAUUUAGUCAACUUAGAGCAUACAUUUAAUUGAAACAUUAUGAUUCUAAAAAUCUUUUAUCUUUGAAUCUAUCUUAUCUCAUUUUUUACGUAAUAUUUUAUGUCCAAUGUCUGAAACACGUUUUGUGCACACACGUUUUGUUCAAUUGAUUAUAUAUAUAUAUUAUUGUGCAUAUCUCAAUUCUAUGGUAUUCACAAAAAUCACACAAAACAAAAUAUUAAUAAUAAGUGCUCCUUCUAACUUAAUAUUAAUUAACUUAACCGCAUACCUGGGAAAUAUAUAGAAAAGAAUGGAAUUAAUGGAAAUUAUUCGAUAAGUAAUGGGAAUAAUCGGUAAACAUAUAUUGAAAAUGAAAUUGCAGAAGAAAAUGAAUUUAUACAUAGUAAAGUGGUUCCUAACCCAGUGAGACCCGCAGCCCAUGAGAGAAAAUUGAAAAUUUUCGCGGCACGCCAUUAUUAACAUAUAUCUCAAAAAUGGUAGUAGCCACAUUUUAGAUUUAAAACUUCCCAUUAAGAAUAUUUGAAUGUCCGAGAAUGAAAGCGAGACGUCUAUUCAUAACUUAUUGAAAUGUAACACCGCCAUGCAAAAAGUGCUGACUGUCAGCAUAUUUUGUAUGGUGGUGUUAAAUUUCAAUAAGUUGUGAAUAGAAGUCUCGCUUUCAUUCUCGGGCAAUCAUUUGAUGUUCACCACUGUCAUGAAAAACAGUUUGAUAGCUGCUAUGAUUAUAACUAAUUUAUAAUGAUUAUAACUAAUUAGUUAAACGUUAACAAAACAAAAUUAAUAACAUAUCAUCGUGGAUCACUGAAAUAUGAAUAUAAUUACAACGUAGAAGGCGUGCAAAUUGAAAGAGUUGAAAUAAUGAAGUAUGAUGACUUGGGAGUAUUGCUUGAUAAGGAUGAAUUUCAAAUAACACAUCGAGCAUGCUGUGGCUAAGGCAAAAUCAAGAUUGGCUUGGUUAAAAUUCAACAGCAGGGAUUUUGUCGACACAUGGACGUUAAAACGCCUUUACUUUACAUUUAUA